GACGCAAUUACAUAAACAGUGUUCCUCAGAUGGUGUGUCUCCUUGGAGCUGUGCGAAAGCCGACCUCCGCUUUCUCUUCUCUAGAGCAGGCAGAGGAUGGGCUACAACGCAGAGGAAACCAGAGCAAGGCAAGCAGCCAGCUAGAGUCCAAGUGAGGAGAAAUGCUGAUGCCUGGUUAAUAAGGAAGAGUUUCCACUGCUGAAAAAGAUGAGAACGGAUGUCACAAACGUUAUUCUCUUUGGGGCUGGCAAGGAGGCCAGAACUGUUUCUUUGGGCAGAAUUUGCACACGGCUGAGAAGGUUCUUUCAGGGGAGGUGACCGAAACCUGAUUCCCAAUCCUGGUUUUGUGAAAGAGAAGAAAGGCCUGUAAGACCUGAAGCCAGGGCUCUAUUUGGAGGUGAAGCAGAGAGAAUCUGAUGGAAGUCUUGGCGACGAGAGAGCCCCUGCGGGAUACCGACACCUCCCCAGGGAGAUGGAGAAGCAGAGCGACAGUGCCCUCGAUGCCAGCAGCGUUCAGAUCCUAACAGGAAUGUGCCUUAAGGAAAAGGAGGUGGUCCCUGUGAGCAAAGCUAACUUAUGCAGUGCCCUUCAAACGGAAACCGCCAGAGCAGAGGCACAUGGAAGUUUGCCCCUUCUCUUCCGAUGCCCGUGACAGACAGAGCGCAGUGAAUAUGAAGGGAGAGAAUACAGCAAGAAUUGCCAAAGGAGAGGGUACGAGCUCAAAGCUGCCUUGGAUUCCAGUGCUGAAGUGAAGUGGAUGUGGCAGAACUCGCCUCGCGCUGUCUAGCAUCUUAGCAUCUGCUAAACUCCCAAAGCUUCUUCCUGCCUCUGAGGAAGGGGAGAGAAAUAUUUCCAGUUGUUUCUUUUAGGUGCCCCAGUUUGAAGCUCUACCUCUGCCUUCCUUUGACCAUCUGAAGCUGCCAGAGAAGGUCAAAACCCGCACUUGGCCUGAGCUGUUCCAUUUGUGUAUGGAUGAAUGGGGAGCGCUGCCACCUUACAUAGCUGCAAACAGCCAGUAGGAUGAAAAGGGUAAGGGGCAUGGCCGGACUUGAAGCAGCGCGUGUUGUUGCGAUUGUUUUCAGAAAGCGUCCUGCCCGAGUGGUACGGGGAUCUGAGUUUGAGCAAUGGACUGUCCUGUCCUGGGGGAGAGGCUUUUGCUGUGGGUUAAGGAUUGGUGCAUUUGAGGAUUUCCUUCCCCUUUUGAGGUCAGCGAUGGGAUUUCCCACAACCAUAUGAAGAGCUGUGAGGUAUUUUGUGAGCAGGAGCUGUGCGUAGCUGGAUCCCUUUGUUGACCGCUCUCUGUGCCUGGGGAUUUAUUGGCGUGUAAACAACCUCCUGCUUUUCUCAUGGGAAGACUGCAGCGGACACCUGAAAUUUUCUUGAGGCAAUGUUUGGCAAAAGCAACCAGCAGGCAGCAUGAGACAUGACUUUCUGGUUUCAAUAUGAUUUUCUAAGCAAAGAAUUUGCUCAACCUGGCCUUUCCAGUGCUGCGAGUGGUGAAGUUGGAGCAGGGGAGAGGGUCUUUUUGUUAACGUCUGGCACUAGAUAGGCUCUCUUCUCUCACAGCUUAAACAGGGCUUGGAAAGGCAGGAGGGUUUAAAGCUCAUCCCAUUGCAGUUGCCGGGAGCUUUCUGUCCCUCGAAAGGAAACUAAGCUUUUUUCAGGUUGAGUUCUAGAGGCUUCGCUGCUAACUCAACUGAUGCUGCCAAAUGAUGUUUAGACUGGCCGUUGCCUCUUCUUUGUCAGCAGAGCCAACAGUGCCCUGUGCUUACCCAAGCAAUUCCCUAGCAGCUCGUGUCCCCAGGGAGCGUGGGAGUUUUCGUCUCUUGCCAUUCCCCUGUCCUGCACUAAUGUGGCAGCUGUAUUGAACAGGUGACUGAUUUGGGCUGGCUUGGGAUAAGGGUCAGUGGGAUGCGGGGAGCUCCCCGUAGAGAGAGCUGGCACUUCUCCCUUUUCUAAGGAGGUGAAGGCAUCUAUAGGGCAGACUGAGCUUUGUUGGGUACAGAGCCAUCUAAAAACUCGUCUGUGCUAACAAUUGCGUGCUUGCUUCUCCCAUGAGAACAUCUGUGAUGGGGUAACGUCUGCAUUAACACAUCUCACGUUUGGGCGUAAGGUUUUCUCUUUUCCUGAAGCCUGGAGGUAUCUAGUAACUACCUGCGCAAGGUGAAGCGCUCCAGAGGGAGGCUUCCGUUUGACACUAGUACUGCGCUGCUUCACCAGACUGUCUGUGCGACAAUGUUGUCUCCUCCUGUUUCUAAAUUUAGAGAGCCUUUUCGGUGCUGAAGUUCCUGAAAGCCUUGCACUGGCGACAAAAAGGGAGCUGUGAGCAUUUGAGUAACAGUUGGCAGGUAGAGAAGCCAUAGGAAGAGGCACCAAGAGCAGGUCAGACAGUGACAAGAGCAGUGGGAAAAGGAAGAAGUUGCUUGGCCAAGAUGAGAAAAUGGUAAGUGAGCUCUUUGUGAACAAGGACUGUAGAGUAACCCAAAGGGAUGCGUGAGUAUACUAAAUGUUGAGCUGUGUUAAGACUGUCUUUUCGAGUUUCCCUGUUGCAAACUGACUCCUCCUUAGCUGUACAACUGGUCUGAAAAAAACCCAAAACCCAACAAACAAAACCACCCCCACAAACAAGAGAGGCAGCUCUGCUGAGAUGGCUAGGUUUCGGAGCUGCACAGGUGGAAUGAUCUUUGUGAAAUCCACAACCUUGAAGUGUGCUUUGCGUGUUCCUGGUGGCUUACUCCAGUGCCCAAGGCAGUGAGCAGUCUUACAGACUGACGUGUGCUUUUGUCGCACGGGUGAUCUCCCCUGCGAGUUUCGAGUUUCACCUUCCUCAAAACUGCAGCCAUUUGCCUCAUUUUGGCUUUGAUUUCUUUUUUCACAGAUUCACAAGGCAAACCCGGUGCACAAAUGCCGCAGCGUAGGAGUGAAGCCCAGCGAUCAGCCACUGACCGUGCCAAAGUCUCCCGACGUCUUAGAUAAAUUCUGGUGCUGACGGGCAUCUGUGUGAUAGUAGGAGAGAGGUCUCGUCCCUCUGCGCUCUCUGGACAGGCAGAGAAGAGAGGGAGCAGUUGCUUUUGUGCGAUCGCUCUGUCUCAGUGCUACACUUGGUUCCGUUCUUGUUAUGCUUGAAAUGCGGAAGGAGGCGAACUCCGUAUGAGGCAGGUGUUCAGGGCAUGGCACACAGGCAGUACUGUGUGGUCUCCAUGGCCUGGCUUCGGGUCUAGGCUUUUGUCCUCCAGAGACUAAGCCAGGCCUUGUUACUUUAUACAAAUAUCGUGUACCUGAAGUAGAUCAAAAUUCCUAACCCGAUUGCUGUCCCUCACUGCUGGGCCGAAUCCGUUUCCUGUAGAGGCACUUGCUGAACCUGCAGUGACGUGUGUGUCUGGAAGAGCUGCCUUGCUGUCGUACCCCUUACUUUCAUGUGUGUGUUUCUUAGGCCCAUAGUCUGUGUUAAGAGGUGCGCUGGGAGCCUUUUGUGCUUCAAAAGGAGAAUAAAUAGCAGUGUGCCCGGGCUGCUUUUCUAGGUCAGACUUUCACGUGGAUGUGAUUUAGAAUGUCUUAGUGUAACGAGUUUACACUGGGGAAGAUUCAGUUUGGUUUGGUUUCUCUUUUUGACAAAGUAUUUCUAACAGAAGAACUAUUCAAAUGAAUUGCAUUCUCUCUGGACUUUUCUGAAACUUGGCCCGGUGACACUGCUUUCCGUCUCACAAGUCCUCCCGUACCUUGCGGCUUCCUUUCAGGGACACAAGUGAAAAAUUUUGCUGUUAUUUGGAAGGAGAUUCUCUUCUUGGCUUUCUUUGGGUGGGCUGUAGUGGGGGGCGGGUGUGUGUGUGUGAUUGGAAGGUCAGAGAAGGAAAUGUGGGCGAAGGAGGAACACGCUUUUGUCUUGGGGCCGAGGGCCACUUCAUCUCACCACCCUGCUAACAUUCCUUUUUGUGUGUUCCCUCUCACAGGUCACUCUUCUCGGUGCUGCGUGGGAAGCGAAUUUCCUUCAGCUGCCUGUGCCCAGGCUGAAUGUGCGGUCUUGCCUGGGUUGCAUUGUCACCACCUUUGCUGUGUGACUGGGAGCACCGUGUCCGUAUCUGGGGACCCUUUGGCCUCUUCUGCCCAGGCAUAGGGAAGCCGGAAGAGCCCUGUGUAAACCAGCAUUGUCUGGAUUCAAGCUUUUGAUCGGUCGCUGUGUGCUGUAGGCGUUUUACUUUUUCAGUGUUUCAAACGAAGAAAGAAUGAGGCAGAGACCGUGCAAGGGUGCGUGGCGAUCGUGCCGUGAGCCAGGGUCUCGCACUGGGAAUGCCAUGCCGUGCAGUGCAGGCUCCGAUUCGGCAGUCCACUUCCCUGUAUGGUCAGUCUAUUGACUUGGAAGGGCUCUCUCGUGUGCUGGGGGAGUUUGCUGGAUCGCGUUCGCGUGUGGAUGUUCAGCUGGGAAAUAUUCUCAUUGUCGAUGCAUCUGCCACUUCAAAAAUCCGCUUGUGUUGGAUUUGAAUUCUGUGUAUUUUCCUGCACUGGGUCAGUUUUUCCUUUCUAGCCUUUGUGUAUUGCAAAGCUGAAGUACUUCCUGUCGGAACAGCUUCCGUCGCCCGGAGGACGUGUACCGGGGGCUGUGCGGGUGCAGGAGAAAGCUUCCUUUCCUCUGGAAAUGUCACCUCUGUCUUUCAGCUUUUAUUUGGAGAGCAGUUCAGGUGCAUGAAAUUUCAGGGCUGUAGACGGCUCUGAAACUGUCCCCUCAGUGGCGCAGGAAGCGCGGAGCCUGCAGCUGCAGCUGAACGUUAGGCGCAGCCCUGUUUGCCUACCUGGGAACGUCUGUGCUGUGUGGAACCGGACCAAAGUGCUGGCACCUCAGUCAUGGUCAGACGCAGUCGUGCCCAGGGAAGGCACGGUUUGCAACGCUCCGGAGCCCGGCAGUAGGUGAGGGUUGUGCGGGCAGCGCCGUAAGGGCUGCUGCUCCGGCCAAUUCGGCGCCCGUUCGUGUCGAUCCCCAAAAUGAAUAAAAUGGUAAAAUCGGCAAAAAUAGCUUCACCCGGCCCAGGGUGGCCGCGUUGUGGCUGCAGCGCG